GUCACAUACCUAGUAAGUAUCUGAGGCCAGAUUUGAACCUGGGGCUUAAAUGCGGGCAUAUCUGAUGAUAGCUAAAUAUUAAUGAGGCCUUCCAACAUGAAAACGCUGCCCACCCCCGGUAUGCAUGCACCUUUAAGUCAUUCCUCAAAACAAUUUCAAACUGUUUUCCAGAACGGUCAGACCAGUUCACGGAUCUACCCACAGUAUACCGGCAUGCUGGGCUUUUCGCAGACCCUCCCACAUUACUGUUCCCUUCUUGAGGCUGUUGAUGUCCAUUUCUCUUCACAUUAGUGAUUGGGAUCAGUCUUUCAUAUGAUUGCUAAUCUCAUGGAAUUAUUUUUUUAAGAAGUGCUGGUACUAUCUUUUGUUGCUAGCCAUUGGUGAACAGCUCUUGGUCUUACAUAUUUGUGUUUGUUGUAUGGAUGACACCAGCAAACUACUUGUUUCUGAGCAGUUUGGGACUUCCCACCUUCUGAUCAGGCUUCUGGAGGCCCCAAGAAAGCAACAGCACCCGCAGCAGUAAGGUCCAAUAGAAGAUGCUAUACGCCUGGCUCCAUCAGCUGGCCCUUUCCUAAGCACUGACACUGCCUGAACUCAUUCUCAGGGGUUGGCAUAGUAUCCCUCCCCCUUCGGGUCCCUUAUCCUCCCCAUCUCAGUCACAUGGAACCCCCAACUAAAAAACAAGAAGUGACCCCUGCUCUGAUUAUCUCCUCAUUCCCAUCCUUCUCCACUUUACACCCCCAUUUUCCUCCCUCAGAUCGACCUGCCCCUGCCACUGUGUUUUUUGUCACUUGUGCUCUGGAAGCCACAAACUGUCCCAUUUUAAACCUUUUGCUCUCCCACCCCAUCUUCUUGAACUCACGGAGAACUGUCUCCUUCCCGAUGACAUCGUCACUGGUCACCAGCACCAGCUACACUUUCUGUCAUCCCCCUUAUUCCCUAAUCACUGGUCCCACAGGGGGAGCUGGAAUGUCCUUUGCUCUCCAUUGCCACUUACAGUCUCUCCCUCUCUUGCCAUCACUCAGUAAGCUCUCCAUGACCGUGCCUGCCACCCAAUCAAGCUCAACAUUCCAGCAGCUGUCAUUUACCAACCUCCAGGACAUUCAAGCCCAUUCCUUCCUCGGCGAAUUCAGUGCCCAGCUCCUGCCCUCAUACCAAAGGACUUCCACCUACACACGGAGACUGUUGAUGACCCUUAAUUCUACCGAGGCUCCCUCAAACACCCUAAACUUCCAGCCUUCAACUGACUCGUUUCCCAUGAACUACUGGGCUAUCCAGAGAUGACCACGCUCUUGAUCCACCCAUUUCUAAUCCCCAAAUCUACCACUUCUGUGUUCAUGAAUUCGAAAUCCGCUUGUCUAAUCAGUCUGUCCUCACUCUGCCUCUCCCACCUUGCUCUUCACACUCGCCGUCCUCUUCAGUCCCUCAACCCCUCAUUUGUUCCCUAGGCUGACACCCCUGCACCGCUGACACUCUCCUCCCUUACCCAACCUGAUCUCUUGGUGAACCAGUUCAACUCUACACUGUCUUCUUGAAUCCGUUCCCCUUAUGCUUUCAAAGAUACUGACAUUCCUUGACCCGGCCUUGGAUCACUCUCAUCGUCCUCUGCCUUUGCAGAGGAUCUACUCGCUGCUGAUCAAUGCCGGGGAAAAUCACAAAACCUUGCUAACUGGAUCCACUACAGAUUGAUGCUCCACAGUCCCAGCUGGGCCCUUACUGUAACAAGGCAAUCUUCUCAUACUUCUCUGAUCAACUUGCUGUCCCACUCUCCAAAGCAGUUCAUCCAAACCCUCUUCGUCCCUCCUCAAACCUCCCAGAGUGCCCCUUUGCCUCAUAUCCUACUGAAAAAAAUGCGACCAUUUGCUGAGAGCUCCCUCUUCUCCAUCCUAUCUCAUACCACCUAGGAGCUGUCUGCCAUUCUCUCCUUCACCCAUUUUACAUGAUAAGGGGCCCUUCUCUGCCAAGCCAACCCCUCUACAUGCACCCAUUAGUCCCUAGCUGCCUCAUGUAGGAGGCCUUUCAUAAUCCCCAAAGCUGACAGUGCCUUCCCCUCCAAGAUUCCUUCCACCUAUUCUGAAUGCAUCAUAUAUGUACCGAGGUGAUAUUCAUUCUGCCUCCCCUGUUAGAAUGUAAGCUUCCUGAAGACAGGGACAGUUUUUGCUUUCUCUUUGUAUCCCAGGCACUUAUACAACUACUGACAUAUAGUAAGUGCUUAAUAAAUAUUGGAUAAUUGAUGGAUGGAUGCUUAGGUAUUUCAGAGGCAUCUCAAAUUAAACGUCUCUAAAACAGAACUCAUUAUCUUUUCUCCAAACCCUCCCCUCUUCCAAAUUUCCCUGUUAUUGCUGAAGGUACCACCAUCCUCCUGGUCAGCUGGGCUCCCAACCUCCCUGUUGUCCUGGACUCCUCUGUCAUCCCACGGAUGAUUCACAGCGUCUCUUGUAUUCCCUUCUUUCCACUCCCACUGCCCUCACCUUCAAGCAGGCCCUAAUUGCUUCUCACCUGGACUAUCCCAGUAACUUCUGGCAGGUUGCCCUGACCUCUUCCUGCUCCAGCCCAGGUAUCAGAGCGAUCUUCCCAAAACAUGGUUCUGACCAUAUCAAAUGCCCCCAAUCCAUAAAUUCCAGUGGCUCCCUAUUACCUCCAGGAUCAAAUAUAAACAACUUUGUCACUUAAAGUCCUUCACCAUAAACAGUGAUUCCUUCUUGUCUCCCUAUCACCGAGGCCUGCAGCCACUCUUGUCUUUUUUUCAUGCCUCUCUCUCCAUUGCCAGAGGUCAGGAAACUACCAGCAUAGCCAAAGAACACAUGCUUUCCCAAUACCCAGCCCUGACUCGAGAAGAAGAGAGAGCUGUUUGGGGUCACUCAAUGUUUACUUCUACAGCAGAUGACAGAAUGAGUGCCUGCACGGGAGGCUCUACCAGAAAGCGGUGAUGGCUGUCCUUUCCCCAAGGCCAUGAAGGCCAAGGGAAGGGUCAUGGGAACCAGGGUGGACAAAAGGAUAGCGGCCCUGGCAGGGACGAGCGGUGAGCCUAGCCCCGAAAGUCUGGAUGGGCCAGCUGAGCACUGUGCCCAGUAUAAUGAAGACACAACUGAUAACAAGUAGCUUUGUGAGCUGAAGACUGGGGACGACGUCCCUCCCCACUUGCCAUCCUGGAGACUGCCGAUGUGCCGGCCUGGGGUGUCCAUGUUUGCCAAAAGAAUGGCAUCGUUCCCAUGGAGGAGCCGGAGAUCUUUACUGAAGAACCUGACAGGAGCACUGUCAGUAUGUCACUAGAAAGGCCGGCAUGAAAAGGAUGCCUCCAUCACCCUAAGGCCCUCACACAAACCAAGGGCCCUAAGAAAAGGUUAGGGACCUUUGGAGACCCGGGUGGAAAGAAGGGACAUGUCACAGCUGCCAAGGAGCCUCCACGGGUGCUAAGAGCCAACCACUCAGGGCUGGUGCAGGGCAAGUGGAGAGUCGGGAGCCGCAGCAGGCUAGUCUCUGUGCCUGGGAUGUCCAAAGCUCCCACGCGUGUGUGCCCUCACCCUGCGGCUCAGUCCUCAUGGUCCAGCACGGGGCAGAGGCUCCCCGCACCCAUCGUUACUAAGCUGUGCGGGGGUGGCUAGAGACCUUCCUCAGCCACCGCUUCCACUAACCACUCCACAACGACCACGUCCUUGCCGGUUCCUCUCCUCGCCGCUCUCGGGUCCCAUCCCCCACGCGGACCGCUUCUGUCUGCCCAGGACGCCCCACGGAAGAUCUCCUGCCCCGGCCCGGCUUUCCUAACCCCCGCGCUCCCCGACUGCCUGCGGGCAGGAGAGGAUGUCUGGCACUCCCCCUCCACCAGUCCAGCACAGGCCGCGCGUGCCGCCCUCGUGCAAAGCGCACUUCCCCGUCGGUCGGUCACGUGGCGAGAGGAAACAGACCAGAGUGGGAGGCUGGGGGCGAGACGUCCGCCUGGCCCCGCAGCUCUCCGGAGGUGGACGGCGUUCCCGGGCGCUGCGCCGGGGCCACGGAGGUACAGCACGGGGCGCCGGGCACGGGGGCAGAAACGAAGCCUCCCCCGUUCGCGCGGAGGGCAGGGGCCACUUUGCCCCCGGGUGCGGGCGCUGGGCUAGCCCGCCAAGCUCCUCAAACCCGGCGGCGGAGCUUGGGGGGGGCGGAGCCGGGCCUCGCCGGUCUCCGUAGGACUUCAGCCACGCCUACGUAGCAGCCCCCCGGGCGCUGGACUCCAUUUCCCAGAAAGCACUGCGAAGGCGCCCUGGGCCCUGGCGCGGUUUCCACGUAUUACGUCACUUCCGCCUGCCUAAACUCCCUGCCAGGGUUCUCCCUGUCAGCAGCCACUGUUGGCACUGAAUCCUGAGUCCCUCCGGGCCGGGGAGAGAGGAGUCUGCCAGGGACGGAGUGGAUGGGGCUUCAAGAGCUGUGAGGGACGGGGGCUCCGAGCUAAGCCCAAGAGGAGCAAGACCUCGCCUCCGCCUCCUUGCUUGGGGCGGUGCCCUCGGGAGCCCGGCUUUUCCUCCUCCUUUUAGGCCCCGCCCUGGAGGACCAGUACUCUGUUAGGAGAAGGUGGAGCCAGAACUGACCACAGUGCCCUGGACAAAGCCUGACCAGUGCAAGGGACAGAGGGCCGCUGCCACCCAUAAGCUUCUCUGGCUGCUUGUGGUCCGCCAAAAGCUCCCAUCCCAUCCCUCUUAGAACUGCUGUCCCCUCUUCAUGUACUGGAGUGGAGUUUUUUUGGUAGCCAAUUGCAAUUUACUGCAAUUCUAUUUACCCCUAGCAUUCAUCUUAUUAGAUUCCGCCUGAUGCUCUCUCCCGUAGUUAUCCCUCACCAACUUUGCAUCAGCUACCGAUUUGAUGAGUUGAAAUCUAUGCCUUUAUCCAAGUCACUGACUACAAUGUUAGACAGCACAGAUGUCAGGGAUACUCUGCUGAAGACCUCCUGCCAUGUUGACAUUGCUCCAUAAACAACUUGUCUUCGAGUGGUCAUCCAAGCUACUCUAAAAUAAUUGGAUCGUAUUAUAAUGGCUAGCAUUUGAAUGUUGCUUUAAGUAUUUUAUUUGUUAUUAAUUUAAUCCUUUCUAUAACCCCAUGAGGGAGAUGCCAUUGUAAUCCUAACUUUACAGAUGAGGAAACAGAAGUUCUAGAGUUUAAGUUAUUUACUUAAUAAAUUAAUUGUUUAAUCUGA